GUUAACCGCCACAUAGGCGGCUUAGAAA
rfam:Wohlfahrtiimonas chitiniclastica SH04 genomic scaffold scaffold_00001, whole genome shotgun sequence.